rnacentral:rRNA from 1 species
AAAUUGAAGAGUUUGAUCAUGGCUCAGAUUGAACGCUGGCGGCAGGCUUAACACAUGCAAGUCGAACGGUAACAGGAAGCAGCUUGCUGCUUUGCUGACGAGUGGCGGACGGGUGAGUAAUGUCUGGGAAACUGCCUGAUGGAGGGGGAUAACUACUGGAAACGGUGGCUAAUACCGCAUAACGUCGCAAGACCAAAGAGGGGGACCUUCGGGCCUCUUGCCAUCAGAUGUGCCCAGAUGGGAUUAGCUUGUUGGUGAGGUAACGGCUCACCAAGGCGACGAUCCCUAGCUGGUCUGAGAGGAUGACCAGCCACACUGGAACUGAGACACGGUCCAGACUCCUACGGGAGGCAGCAGUGGGGAAUAUUGCACAAUGGGCGCAAGCCUGAUGCAGCCAUGCCGCGUGUAUGAAGAAGGCCUUCGGGUUGUAAAGUACUUUCAGCGGGGAGGAAGGUGUUGUGGUUAAUAACCACAGCAAUUGACGUUACCCGCAGAAGAAGCACCGGCUAACUCCGUGCCAGCAGCCGCGGUAAUACGGAGGGUGCAAGCGUUAAUCGGAAUUACUGGGCGUAAAGCGCACGCAGGCGGUCUGUCAAGUCGGAUGUGAAAUCCCCGGGCUCAACCUGGGAACUGCAUUCGAAACUGGCAGGCUUGAGUCUUGUAGAGGGGGGUAGAAUUCCAGGUGUAGCGGUGAAAUGCGUAGAGAUCUGGAGGAAUACCGGUGGCGAAGGCGGCCCCCUGGACAAAGACUGACGCUCAGGUGCGAAAGCGUGGGGAGCAAACAGGAUUAGAUACCCUGGUAGUCCACGCCGUAAACGAUGUCUACUUGGAGGUUGUGCCCUUGAGGCGUGGCUUCCGGAGCUAACGCGUUAAGUAGACCGCCUGGGGAGUACGGCCGCAAGGUUAAAACUCAAAUGAAUUGACGGGGGCCCGCACAAGCGGUGGAGCAUGUGGUUUAAUUCGAUGCAACGCGAAGAACCUUACCUGGUCUUGACAUCCACAGAACUUUCCAGAGAUGGACUGGUGCCUUCGGGAACUGUGAGACAGGUGCUGCAUGGCUGUCGUCAGCUCGUGUUGUGAAAUGUUGGGUUAAGUCCCGCAACGAGCGCAACCCUUAUCCUUUGUUGCCAGCGGUCCGG